ensembl:lncRNA
ACCCCUAUGCUCGUAUACCGUACUAUGAAGCCUUAAGUGUUCGACAUAUUACUAAAGCCUGUUCCCUCAUCAACAACCAGGACAUUCACUUAGUGUUACAUAACACAGACGUGGGAACAACACACAGUUAGUUAAGUGUUGUCACCACGAAAGACAGGAGAGUUUCUAUCUACUACACUCUGGAACAAAGACAUAAGAAACGGCUUUUCAUUUCGCCUGACGACCCCAAAAACGUGACCAAAAAUGGCCAAACAGCUUGAAGGAGAAAGUUAGCGACGCUUCCAGACUAGUGGAGGGUUGGCCACACAACUGCGCCAUCCCAGACAGAGUAUCCUUAACUAUUGUUAUCAUCAUUGAAAUGAUCUCCUUUCACGAACUUCGGAACUUUGGGAAUUCCAGACUGCGUAGCGCACUCUAUUCCAAUGGGAUAUCGGUGGAGCGCAGACGUAACUGCUCUCAGACAGCUGGCAGCCAAUUGAAAUUUAGUGUCGUGUCUGCGAAACGGAGCAUUUUCGUGGAUGACUGACAGUGGCAGGUGACAGUAGACCGUCUUUCUAUUGACUAGGGAGAAACUAAAGGCUGAGGAAGACUUACCAGGCGUAUUUAUAUACGGAAAGAGAGAGGGAGCUCUACCCACCAAUGUGCCGACACGUCUGCACUGCUACCCACGUCUACCCAGCAAUGUGCAGACACGUCUGCGCUGCUAUUUCUGAGGGGGAUUCCCUAUGGAGAAUCCCUCGUGCCCACUGGCAUAUAGCCCAAACAUCAUCAACCAGUGCGCGUUCUCAAGUUCAGCGAGUGUGUCCACCAACCAGGACAUGACACGACAGGAGAUUACAGAGGUGUUGGGCAGACUUUGUAUAACCAGCAUCAUUGUAACAGAUACUUUGGUGAUUCUGUCAUGCUCUAAUGUUACAUUUUAUGUCAGUCAGUUAUCAGUGGACUAUUUUUUGUGUGCGUGAAUGAACAAUUGCUAAGUAUAGUGAAUCUAUUUCAUUCAUUGUGUUUGCUACAAUAGCAUCCCUCUUGCAUUGGAGAAUCAGGGUAACUGUGUCUAUCAUCUUGACCACAGAAUGGGAUCAUUCAUAACCUUGCCUAUAGUGUUACAAUCCAGCUGCUUGGCUGCCACAUAAAAGUGUGAAAGAUGGUGGUGACUUAAUUUCAUUGUUUUGCACAAUUACAGACAUCAUGUUGAGGAUAAAAGAUGCCAAACUGUUUUCUCUAGGGUUUUGUCAGUGGAAUUAAAUAGUCGUGAAAUUAUUUCUCAGAGGUCAUAGAGAUGGCAUAGUUUGACUGUAUGGUGUUCAUGGUUCGUUUGAGUUUUGCAAAUUCAUUACAUUUCUCUGUGAAAAGAAGUUCUGGGGCAACCUGUUUUGGAGGGUUUGUAACCAUGACGAAAAUAAUGCAGGUAUUGUAAAGGUUACUGUGAAGCAUCUGCAUGAUAAACACGGCAUAACUCAUAGUUCAAACUAGAAAGGCUUUGUUUAUAGAGGUUACAGUGGAUUUGAAGUUGGCCUUCAGCUUUUCUACAUUUUCAGGGAUUUUACAGUCAUGGUGUUUCUUUAUGGUGCUUAACAUUUUCUUGACUUUUUACUGGUGCAAUAACAUCUAUGACACUCUUCAAAUUUCAAGUUCAAAUUAUCCAGGAGUAUAUCAACUGUCUCUCUUGGUUGGUGACAUAGCUAUGGCCUCCAUAAACUGAGCAGUAGUACUCUCCUUUAUGUAUCUUCUCUGAACAGAAACAGAGCUUAUUUGAACCUUUGGAGUACCCAGGGAAUCAAAGAAGACACAGGAAUGAUCAGAAUGGCCAAAGUCCUUAACCAGUACAGAAGUGAUGAGACCUUUUAAAAAUAACCAGAUCC